rnacentral:rRNA from 1 species
AUUGAACGCUGGCGGCAGGCCUAACACAUGCAAGUCGAACGCGUGGCGGACGGGUGAGUAAUGUCUGGGAAACUGCCUGAUGGAGGGGGAUAACUACUGGAAACGGUCGCUAAUACCGCAUACUCUCGGAUGUGCCCAGAUGGGAUUAGCUAGUAGGUGGGGUAAAGGCUCACCUAGGCGACGAUCCCUAGCUGGUCUGAGAGGAUGACCAGCCACACUGGAACUGAGACACGGUCCAGACGCCUACGGGAGGCAGCAGUGGGGAAUAUUGCACAAUGGGCGCAAGCCUGAUGCAGCCAUGCCGCGUGUAUGAAGAAGGCCUUCGGGUUGUAAAGUACUUUCAGCGGGGAGGCGUUACCAACAGAAUAAGCACCGGCUAACUUCGUGCCAGCAGCCGCGGUAAUAC